UACGUAGGGUGCGAGCGUUGUCCGGAAUUAUUGGGCGUAAAGGGCUCGUAGGCGGUCUGUUGCGUCAGGAGUGAAAACUCGGGGCUUAACCCCGAGCCUGCUUCUGAUACGGGCAGACUAGAGGUAUGCAGGGGAGAACGGAAUUCCUGGUGUAGCGGUGAAAUGCGCAGAUAUCAGGAGGAACACCGGCGGCGAAGGCGGUCGACCUGG
rnacentral:rRNA from 1 species